GGGGUGGGCCCGUGGGUCCCAGUACCUGGUCCAGGAGGCAGCGUCUCCCUCCCGUCCGGGAUAAGACACCCCCUCCGCGGGUCCCCUGUCCACUCUGGAGAGGCAGCCCCCACUUGGAGGGACCAGGACCCGAGCCCUGCCCAUCCCCGAAUCCUGGGAGCCCUGCGUGGGGAGUGUCGAGGGCCUGGGUCGGGGGGCAAACUAGUGUGGAGACAUUAGAACACUAUUUAAAGAGUGUACAUCUCCUAGUGAAGCAAAUGAUAAACUUUCCCACCUACAAAGUGUGAGAUAUUGGCAAUGUAAAGAUGUGAAGAGAGAUACGGUACUAUGGAGGGAGAGAAAGCCCUGUGUAUGAGAUAUUUGCAACAGCAUUGCAGAUAGAUAGAUACAUAGAUAUAAUUUUUUAACAUUUGGAAUCAAA
rnacentral:lncRNA from 1 species